rfam:Triticum aestivum genome assembly, contig: Triticum_aestivum_CS42_TGACv1_scaffold_093800_2AL
GCUAGGAAGAGGAAGAAAGAGAGGGCCUAAGAGCGGUGGGAAUGAGAACAUAGAGGAAAUCCUAACUUAUUGAUUCUUCAUCACUUGUGUUGUGAUGGAAAUUUUGUUUGGUAUUUCCCGAUGCCUCUCAUUCCUAUCGUUCUUAUGCACUCCUUCCUCUUCCUUCUUGUU